UUCUUGUCCUCAAUCUUCCCAUGGUCGAGGAGCUUCUCAGGCACAGGAACCCUGGGUCCAAAGGAUGUGCUCUACUCCCGGUGCUGUUUUCUUGGUGGGAGUUCCUGGAAAACAGAAGAUGAUUCCUGGAAGAUCAUGGCAAGGGAGAUAAUUUUGGCAGAUCUCACUUGGACACCUUCACAGAAGUGUUUGAGAGUCAGGAUACCUGCAUACCACUGGGCACCAGAACCCUGAUCUGAAGAAAUGGAAAACUUCCAUUAUUACCUGAGGACUUUGAUUUGCUAAUUGAGGAAAGUUAUGCUAGUCCAGUAUUUUAUUUGUAUGUUAUAUUUAAAAAAUUUUUGUUUUUCCCAUGAUUUAGUGAUGGAAAGAUAAUACAAAAUAAGUAUUUAGUGAAAACUAGGAAAUAUAAUAAAAAAACUGAAAGGACAGCUAAAUGGAUGAAAAUAUAAGGGACAAAUAGAAGGGAGGGCCACAGGGUAAGUUUUGAUUUUUCACAGGGAGGAUAUUGUAUUAAUUUUAGAGGCGAGAAAAACAAAACUGUAUAGAAUACAUAGAAUGUAUGGAAACACAGAAACCGUUUUGACUUAGGAGACACAUGGUGGUGAACAGUAGAACCAGGCUUCUAUAGAAUGAACUAAUUGGAAUCAUUAUUAAUUAAAGAAUGAACUAUUUCAUUUAUUUAUUCUUUAAGCACUUGUAUCUCAUUUAUUUAAGUAUUGGGUUAUGUUCUGAAGGUAAAAGUGGAAUAAGGUAUAGUCUUCAACCUUGAGGUUCACAAAUCUAUUUGGAGGACAGGAAAAAUAAUUUGGUUAUAACAUGUAGAGCAUUUUCAUUAAAGCACGUGAAAUUUAGAAACACUAAGAACUCUCUCUAGGCAGAUUAGAGAAUGUUCAACAAUUUGUGACUUUAAAAAAUGUGAACAAUGAGUUGGCCACAGAAUGUAAAAGGAUAUUGGAGUCUAAGAUUGCUCUCCAUUUCUCUUUCCCUUUUAUUUUGAAACCCAAAGGCAUGUAUAGAGAACUGUAUUUCUGUAUGAUGAUGUCUUGAUGGUAAGAGAGUUGGAGGGUGAGGUUGUGGAUGCAGGUGGAGACAAUGCAUCAGGUGCCUUAUUUUCUAUCUUAAGAAUUGAUUUUACCCUACAGGUGCUAAAGAGUCAUAGAGAAGCAUAAAGAAUAAUUAAUUCACCCAUUCUACUUGUUAGACAGAAAAUUAAAUUACCUCUUCUGUUUUCUUUUUCUUCUUUCUGAUUUUCCCAAUCUUUUCUGUAAAUCUGCAAUACCCUCACAUCUAAGCUCUUAACUUCCUUAUUUCCAAAUAUUUUAUGCAGCAUCUUAGACUGGGUUGAGUGGAGCUGAAGUUUUCGAUGGGUAAUUUUAUUUUCAAGUUUUAGUUCCCACAAGGUUUCCAAGGAUGACUUUGAAAAGGCAAGUGACUAAUGAGGGCCAUGAAGUAGCCAUUGAGUAACAUGGCCUCUCUUUCCUUUCAGGAACUCCAACAUUUUUUGGAUACUAAGCUGCCUUUUCACACUGGGGAGGAUCCUGUAUGGGAGAAGAUAUCAAAGACAGGAGACCAGGAAAUGGAAAGGGUUUUUAUUUGAACCAAAUGGAUAAAAUAAAAGAAAACAUGGGUAAAAUGCGAAGCCACAUAAAGUGCAAGACGAUUGUUGUACAACCCGAUCUAAAUUUUAGACACCUCACAUUCUUGGGAGCAGUUUUCUAGAUAUGCUGCAGCUUAUCAAUGUUAUUUUAAAAUAAUAAUGCAUAAAACUGAAGCUCAUAUUUAAUAUGUGACCUCCUUUUUCACGGUAAAAUG